CUCAAGCAGUAUAGAGAUUGCUCAACACUUCAUGUCUAAUAUAAGUGUCCAUAGGUAGGAGCUUAGAGCACAAAGAGACUUCCAAGGUGAAGGCAUAUAGGAAGCAAUGGAGUACCUCUGUGUUGUCAUUUUACUUUUCUCGGCUGUGGCUACACGUGCUGACCCAUGGAGACAAUUGCAACAGGGAGACAGUCGAUUCCUCCCAUUUGGCAGACCUCAACAAAGUCCAGACAGACACCCUAUGAGACCCAAUGGUAGAGAUCCCUGGAUGAAGGAUGGUUCCCUCCCUCCAUUUGGGGGCCAGCCAAUAGGUGGAGGAGGAGAGAACUCUAGACCAAUCGGUGGAGGACCUACGUGGCAAGGAUGGGAUAUGGGUGGAACUGGCAACCCAGGAUGGGUAUGAUGGCCUUCUAAUUUGAUUAACAAAUGUGAUUUUCCCAAACUACUAAUUCAUUGUAUCUACUAGUAGUAAUAGUUAUGAUAUAGUACUUUUUACUUGACUGAAUUUAUUUUG
rnacentral:lncRNA from 13 species